GGGGGAAUCUGCCUUUGAGCGGGGGACAACAUUUGGAAACGAAUGCUAAUACCGCAUAACAACUUGGACCGCAUGGUCCGAGUUUGAAAGAUGGCUUCGGCUAUCACUUUUGGAUGGUCCCGCGGCGUAUUAGCUAGAUGGUGAGGUAACGGCUCACCAUGGCAAUGAUACGUAGCCGACCUGAGAGGGUAAUCGGCCACAUUGGGACUGAGACACGGCCCAAACUCCUACGGGAGGCAGCAGUAGGGAAUCUUCCACAAUGGACGAAAGUCUGAUGGAGCAACGCCGCGUGAGUGAAGAAGGGUUUCGGCUCGUAAAACUCUGUUGUUAAAGAAGAACAUAUCUGAGAGUAACUGUUCAGGUAUUGACGGUAUUUAACCAGAAAGCCACGGCUAACUACGUGCCAG
rnacentral:rRNA from 1 species